rnacentral:rRNA from 1 species
CUACGGAGGGGGUUAGCGUUGUUCGGAAUUACUGGGCGUAAAGCGUACGUAGGCGGAUUAGUAAGUUAGGGGUGAAAUCCCGAGGCUCAACCUCGGAACUGCCUCUAAAACUGCUAGUCUUGAGUUCGAGAGAGGUGAGUGGAAUUCCUAGUGUAGAGGUGAAAUUCGUAGAUAUUUGGAGGAACACCAGUGGCGAAGGCGGCUCACUGGCUCGAUACUGACGCUGAGGUGCGAAAGCGUGGGGAGCAAACAGGAUUAGAAACCCCGGUAGUCC